rnacentral:rRNA from 1 species
CGGCGCAAGGGAGAGUAACGCGUGGAUAUCUGCCCUCGGCUCCAGAAUAGCUACGGGAAACUGUAGGUAAUGCUGGAUAAUAUCUCCGGAUCAAAGGUGUGAUUCCGGCCGAGGAUGAGUCCGCGUCCUAUUAGAUUGUUGGUGGGGUAAUGGCCUACCAAGUCGAAGAUGGGUACCGGGUGUGAGAGCAUGGCCCGGCUCACUGGGACUGAGACACUGCCCAGACGUCUACGGACGGCUGCAGUCGAGAAUCUUCCGCAAUGGGCGCAAGCCUGACGGAGCGACGCCGCGUGCGGGAUGAAGGCCUUCGGGUUGUAAACCGCUGUCAGUUGGGAGGAAAUGCUAUGGGGUUCUCUCCAUAGUUUGACCGAUCUUCAGAGGAAGUACGGGCUAAGUACGUGCCAGCAGCCGCGGUAACACGUACCGUACGAACGUUAUUCGGAAUCACUGGGCUUAAAGAGUCCGUAGGCGGCUAUGUAGGUCAGGUGUGAAAUCCCACGGCUCAACCGCGGAACUGCGCUUGAAACCAUAUGGCUAGAGGGAGAUAGAGGAAAGCGGAACUGAUGGUGGAGCGGUGAAAUGCGUUGAUAUCAUCAGGAACACCGGUGGCGAAAGCGGCUUUCUGGGUCUCUUCUGACGCUGAGGGACGAAAGCUAGGGGAGCGAACGGGAUUAGAUACCCCGGUAGUCCUAGCUGUAAACGAUGAGCACUAGU